rfam:Schistosoma mattheei strain Denwood, Zambia genome assembly, scaffold: SMTD_contig0013011
AUACAGUUGACGAGUCCCAAAUAGGACGGAACGCGCAUCCUGAAU